rnacentral:pre_miRNA from 1 species
AGCUCCUUGUUGGAGAAGCAGGGCACGUGCAAACGUAUUACACAAAUCCGCCAUUGCACGUGCUCCCCUUCUCCACCACGGUCUC